rnacentral:lncRNA from 1 species
AUGGAUCCAAUACAUUUACUGAGCUCAAGAACCAUGUUUUAAAUAUUAUUUUGUAAACUUUUUGUGGUGAUAUGAGUAUGUACAUGUUGAUGAUUGUUGUUUAAGUUUCAAUGUGAUGUCUAAAGGUGUUCUCAUGGAAUAUAUAUGUUUGUUAAUUGAAAACCAUGAACUUUAGGUGGUUUAAUAUGGUGCAAGUAUGAAACCUGCCUAUGCCUUAAAGAAUGCAUGUAAGUUGUUUGAUAAAAUGCUUAGGA